GAUGAACGCUAGCUACAGGCUUAACACAUGCAAGUCGAGGGGUAACGAGAGGGAAGCUUGCUUUCCUUGUCGACGACCGGCGCACGGGUGAGUAACGCGUAUCCAACCUGCCCCCAACUAGGGAAUAACCUUGAGAAAGUAAGACUAAUACCCUAUAAUUUCCUCAGAUGUCAUCUGACGAGGAAUAAAGAUUUAUCGGUUGUGGAUGGGGAUGCGUCUGAUAGCUUGUUGGCGGGGUAACGGCCCACCAAGGCAACGAUCAGUAGGGGUUCUGAGAGGAAGGUCCCCCACAUUGGAGCUGAGACACGGUCCAAACUCCUACGGGAGGCAGCAGUGAGGAAUAUUGGUCAAUGGGCGGAAGCCUGAACCAGCCAAGUAGCGUGCAGGAUGACGGCCCUAUGGGUUGUAAACUGCUUUUAUACAGGAAUAAAGUUAGCCACGUGUGGUUAUUUGUAGGUACUGUAUGAAUAAGGACCGGCUAAUUCCGUGCCAGCCGCCGCAGUAA
rnacentral:rRNA from 1 species